GGGUUAUGUUUUUUUAAAGGGGGUGUAUAUGUAGCAGUCUCAUAUUUAAUGAUUUAAUUACAAGUACAUGUAAAUUACAUAUGCAUCAUUUCAUUUUGAUAUUUUCAUGUUUUUUUGAAUGCAUAUAUAUUGGAUUCUAUAAUUAUUUAAUUGAUCUUAAAACAUAUAUAUUUAUUUAUAUUUGCUGAAUAUAAAAUAUAGUUUUUAGGACGCUACAACAUUGUUCUAGUGAAAAUUUCUCUAGUUGCUACCUUGUGCAGAAAAAUGAAAGGUGACGAAUUAAAGUUGUAUAAUUUUUGUAACACACAGUGCUUUUGUAUUUAUUUGAAUAUCUCAUGUUUGUUGAUUACCAUAAUGCUCAAUGUAGUAGUGCGUGACUACGUUCGAUUGUUUUAUACUCGUAUGUUUUACACAUGCUUAUUACUUAGUUCAUGGUGAAAUGCAAUGUACAAUUUUAACAGUGGUUUUUUCUAUGUGUAUGGGGAAUUUGAAGGGCAUCUCUCUAUUAUGUUUACAGAGUAAAUAGAAUCCUAGAGUUACAAUUCUGUCUUUGUUAUGUACUAAAAUAUAGAAUGUAUCAAAGAUCAGAGAAAUAUGUCAUUUGAAUAAAUCAACUGUUGAAGCAUG
rnacentral:misc_RNA from 1 species